GACGACGCUGGCGGCGUGGAUUAGGCAUGCAAGUCGAACGGUAUCAUCCUUUCGGGGGUGAGAGAGUGGCGAACUGGUGAGUAACACGUAGGUUAUCUACCUCAAGACGGGACAACCCAGGGAAACUUGGGCUAAUACCGGAUGUGAGCAACUUUUAGUGUUUGAAAGGUGGCGUAAGCUGUCGCUUGGGGAUGAGCCUGCGUCCUAUUAGUUAGUUGGUGAGGUAACGGCUCACCUAGGCAAUGAUAGGUAGGCGGCCUUAACGGGUGGUCGCCCACACUGGGAUUGAGAUACGGCCCAGACUCCUACGGGAGGCAGCAGUCGAGAAUAGUCUACAAUGGUCGGAAGACUGAUAGUGCGACGCCGCGUGAACGAUGAAUCCCUUCGGGGUGUAAAGUUCUUUUAUAUGUGAGCAGUGCUUCUUAUAUUAACAGUAUGGGGAGAGAGAUAUUAGCAUAUGAAUAAGCAACGGCUAACUCCGUG
rnacentral:rRNA from 1 species